rnacentral:rRNA from 1 species
AGCGAACGCUGGCGGCAGGCCUAACACAUGCAAGUCGAACGAACUCUUCGGAGUUAGUGGCGGACGGGUGAGUAACACGUGGGAACGUGCCUUUUGGUUCGGAAUAACUCAGGGAAACUUGUGCUAAUACCGAAUGUGCCCUUCGGGGGAAAGAUUUAUCGCCAUUAGAGCGGCCCGCGUCUGAUUAGCUAGUUGGUGAGGUAACGGCUCACCAAGGCGACGAUCAGUAGCUGGUCUGAGAGGAUGACCAGCCACACUGGGACUGAGACACGGCCCAGACUCCUACGGGAGGCAGCAGUGGGGAAUCUUGCGCAAUGGGCGAAAGCCUGACGCAGCCAUGCCGCGUGAAUGAUGAAGGUCUUAGGAUUGUAAAAUUCUUUCACCGGCGACGAUAAUGACGGUACCCGGAGAAGAAGCCCCGGCUAACUUCGUG